CAACACUUUAUUCAGGACUGUCCAUUCGAAGGAUGGGGAGCAACAAAAGAAGCUAGGUCUUAUUUUGUAAAUGGAGAGACUGAUAUAAUCUGCCCUGCUAACUGUGAUGGCCAGUCAUGACCACGUCCAUGGCUGCAGACCGCGGCUGAACUAGAGAAACAGAAGUGGGAGGCCAGAGGAGAGGAGCUCAAUGGUUAAGAGAAGAGCAAGCUGGAGGCGAAAACCUGAGCAACUGGAAUACACAGUGGAGACGUCGAUCUCUGGCUCCUUGGACGAGACAGGGACCGAGUGAACGGUAGAAGAAUGUCUUCCCAUUCAUGAUGCUUAACAGUUACCAGUGCUGCUGCCCUUUAAAGGAGCAAAGGAGUAUGCUGAAGAAGACUCGUUUGAGGAAUGGGUUGACCGCUUCAAGGAAAUGGCAGUCUAAUGUAGAUGGGACGACCAUAAAAA